UACGUAGGUCCCGAGCGUUGUCCGGAUUUAUUGGGCGUAAAGCGAGCGCAGGUGGUUUAUUAAGUCUGGUGUAAAAGGCAGUGGCUCAACCAUUGUACGCAUUGGAAACUGGUAGACUUGAGUGCAGGAGAGGAGAGUGGAAUUCCAUGUGUAGCGGUGAAAUGCGUAGAUAUAUGGAGGAACACUGGUGGCGAAAGCGGCUCUCUGGCCUGUAACUGACACUGAGGCUCGAAAGCGUGGGGAGCAAACAGG
rnacentral:rRNA from 1 species